rnacentral:rRNA from 1 species
UACGGAGGGUGCGAGCGUUAAUCGGAAUUACUGGGCGUAAAGGGUUCGUAGGUGGUUUGAUAAGUUAUCUGUAAAAUCCCUGGCUCAACCUAGGAAGGCCAGAUAAUACUGUUGAACUCGAGUAUGGGAGAGGGUAGUGGAAUUUCCGGUGUAGCGGUGAAAUGCGUAGAGAUCGGAAGGAACACCAGUGGGCGAAGGCG